UACAGAGGUCCCGAGCGUUGCUCGGAAUCACUGGGCGUAAAGAGCGUGUAGGCGGCCAGGUAGGUCUGCUGUGAAAACUCGAGGCUCAACCUCGAGACGUCGGCGGAAACCAUCUGGCUAGAGUCCGGAAGAGGAGAGUGGAAUUCCUGGUGUAGCGGUGAAAUGCGCAGAUAUCAGGAAGAACACCCGUGGCGAAGGCGGCUCUCUGGGACGGUACUGACGCUGAGACGCGAAAGCGUGGGGAGCGAGCAGG
rnacentral:rRNA from 1 species